rnacentral:rRNA from 1 species
UACGUAGUGGGCAAGCGUUGUCCGGAAUCAUUGGGCGUAAAGCGCGUGUAGGCGGCUCGGUAAGUCUGCUCUGAAAGCCUGGGGCUCAACCCUGGGAGGCGGGUGGAUACUGCUGAGCUCGAGUCCGGAAGAGGCGAGUGGAAUUCCUGGUGUAGCGGUGAAAUGCGCAGAUAUCAGGAGGAACACCAAUGGCGAAGGCAGCUCGCUGGGACGUGACUGACGCUGAGACGCGAACGCGUGGGGAGCAAACAGG